UACGGAGGGUGCAAGCGUUAUCCGGAUUCACUGGGUUUAAAGGGUGCGUAGGUGGGCAGUUAAGUCAGUGGUGAAAUCUCCGGGCUUAACCCGGAAACUGCCAUUGAUACUAUCUGUCUUGAAUAUCGUGGAGGUAAGCGGAAUAUGUCAUGUAGCGGUGAAAUGCUUAGAUAUGACAUAGAACACCAAUUGCGAAGGCAGCUUACUACCCGAAUAUUGACACUGAGGCACGAAAGCGUGGGGAUCAAACAGGA
rnacentral:rRNA from 1 species